UCAAGAAAACGGUCUCACACACUUUAAACAUUAUCACAGCUCUCUCCACUGAUGCUGAGUACUUCCAGCUUAUUCGUAACAGCUCUCCGUUGACUUUUCACAACCAUGGCCUCCAAUUCAAACCAGAAACUCCGAGAGGAAUUUCAAAACGAACACUCCACAAUCAGAUGGCAUGUGGAGUAACACAUACCGACUCCGAAAACUAAGUAUUCGGCUGUUCGGCGGAAUAGGGGCAUGGGAAAUCAACAUUUAUUAACAACUGUCUGUGUGUGGUCAAGGACACCGAGUAUCGCACCGAAGCCGCUGAAGGGGAUCUGCGAGGGAGUUUCACAGUUGAACUGAAGGGAUACCGACUCAGCGAUUACAUAGAGAUUGUCGACAACAUUGGAGGAAAAUCGUACAGUUCCAGUGAAUGUUACGAAUUCCGUGCUCAGUUAGAUGGGUAUCGAAAAGUGGGCCAACGAGUCGGAUCUGGAGACUGGGGGAGUUAUUUUCGGGACGGCGUGACAUCACGAGAUGCGGACUGGCAAAACAUGAUGCACAUCCCAGUAAUUAUUCACAGAGGAGAUUUUCCAUCUUUCCAACAGGAGAAACCAAUGAUAAGGCCGUUAAUUGACUGUGCUGCAAUAUUACUGGAUGAAAAGGAGCAGCGUCACCCAUAAUUGCAGAUUUCACAAACAAGGUACAAGAAAUGCUGAUUUGAAAGUGGAGGCACCUCAUAGACUCGCAAAUGAAGAAUUGUGUAUUGUGGUAGUGGUACCGCCCACAUUUUGAAGGGAGAUAUUAUAAGUAGCAAAUGAAAUUUCCAUAGGAGGAGGAUAUUUGGUGAUUCGAAAAACCCAGGCAUCCAUAAGCGGGUAUUUUACUUGACCAAAAUUACAGAGAGAAUGUUUUGCAGUUUUGGAAAAUGUAUCGCAUUUGUCAAAUCAUAGGUAAACUUCAAGAUGUGAGUGAACCAGCAACCCUGAUUCCUAUGAAGAAAGUGAGUACUGGAGAUGUGGUGCUGGCAAAGCACAGCCAGUCGGGCAGCAGCCGAGGACCAGGAGAGUC